rnacentral:rRNA from 1 species
GAUGAACGCUGGCGGCGUGCCUAAUGCAUGCAAGUCGUACGCAGCAAGCUUGCUUGGCUGCGUGGCGCACGGCUGAGGAACACGUGGGUAAUCUGCCCCGGAGUGGGGGAUAACUGCGCGAAAGCGGAGCUAAUCCCGCAUACGCUCGCAAGAGGAAAGCGGCAACGCGCUCCGGGAUGAGCCUGCGGCCCAUCAGGUAGUUGGUGAGGUAACGGCUCACCAAGCCGGUGACGGGUACCUGGUCUGAGAGGACGACCAGGCAGACUGGGACUGAGACACGGCCCAGACUCCUAUGGGAGGCAG